UACAGAGGGUGCGAGCGUUGUCCGGAAUCACUGGGCGUAAAGGGCGCGUAGGCGGUCUGGUAAGCGUGUGGUGAAAGCCCGGGGCUCAACCCCGGGUCGGCCGUGCGAACUGCUGGACUGGAGCAGAUCAGAGGCAGGCGGAAUUCCGGGUGUAGCGGUGGAAUGCGUAGAGAUCCGGAAGAACACCGGUGGCGAAGGCGGCCUGGUGGGAUCUUGCUGACGCUGAGGCGCGACAGCGUGGGGAGCAAACAGG
rnacentral:rRNA from 1 species